rnacentral:ncRNA from 2 species
AAAGACUACUAGGGGAGCCUUUUGGCUGAGAUGAAUCGAAUUCAGACCCUUUGAACCUGAUUGAGUUAAUACUCGCGUAGGAAAGUAGCGUAGACAUUGA